rnacentral:rRNA from 1 species
UCCAGACUCCUACGGGAGGCAGCAGUGGGGAAUAUUGCACAAUGGGGGAAACCCUGAUGCAGCGACGCCGCGUGAGUGAAGAAGUAUUUCGGUAUGUAAAGCUCUAUCAGCAGGGAAGAAAAUGACGGUACCUGAGUAAGAAGCCCCGGCUAACUACGUGCCAGCAGCCGCGGUAAUACGUAGGGGGCAAGCGUUAUCCGGAUUUACUGGGUGUAAAGGGAGCGUAGACGGCAGCGCAAGCCUGGAGUGAAAGGAUGGGGCCCAACCCCAUGACUGCUCUGGGAACUGCGCGGCUGGAGUGCCGGAGGGGUAAGCGGAAUUCCUAGUGUAGCGGUGAAAUGCGUAGAUAUUAGGAGGAACACCAGUGGCGAAGGCGGCUUACUGGACGGUAACUGACGUUGAGGCUCGAAAGCGUGGGGAGCAAACAGGAUUAGAUACCCUGGUAAG